rnacentral:tRNA from 1 species
GCCCUCGUAGUCUAACGGCCAUGACGCUAGCCUGUCGCGCUGGAAACCCGGGUUCGAUUCCCGGCGGGGGCG